GACGAACCACCCAAACGUUAUUCGGAAUUACUGGGCUUAAAGAGUGCGUAGGCGGUCUUGUAAGUAGGGUGUGAAAUCCCACAGCUCAACUGUGGAACUGCGCUCUAAACUACAAGACUAGAGGGAUAUAGAGGUGAGCAGAACUGAUGGUGGAGCGGUGAAAUGCGUUGAUAUCAUCAGGAAUACCGGAGGCGAAGGCGGCUCACUGGGUAUCUUCUGACGCUGAGGUACGAAAGCUAGGGGAGCGAACGGG
rnacentral:rRNA from 1 species